rnacentral:lncRNA from 1 species
GAACAGGCUGCCCAGGGAGGUGGUGGAGUCACCAUCCCUGGAAGUCUUUAAAAGACGUUUAGAUGUAGAGCUUAGGGAUAUGGUUUAGUGGGGACUGUUAGCGUUAGGUUAGAGGUUGGACUCAUUGGUCUUGAGGUCUCUUCCAACCUAGAAAUUCUGUGAUUCUGUGAAUUGCAAAUUGCAUCUAUUACCUCUAUUCUACAGGCUGAUGGUUCACUUUUGCUUCACUGUCACUCAUUAUGCUGCUUACUUGUUUUAUUGUUUUCCUCUUGCCUUUUGAUGCCCCAAUCAAAGCUUGCUUAUAUGCACUAGCUGCAGCCAACAAACUGUGAAAUUUGGAUCCCAAAACAGGGACCUGUCAUUGAUUCUGUAUGUGUAAAUCUCUAUAGGUAUCACCACCUCAUUUUUUUUUUUGCCCCCCUCACCUUCUUUUAAUUGUUAAAAUUCUUACAUGCUUCAUUUUAAGGCAUUUUGAGUACAUUUAUGUGAAUGUAUCUAUAAAGUCACUUUUUGUUUAACCUUAGCUAAAGAUCAUACUUUCUAAAGAAGCAACCCCAGGUUGCUUUAACUAAACUGUAUUCUUGCUGCAGUUUUUACAAAGAUAGAAUUGCUGACGUUUUCUGUUAAAUUUUUAGCUCCUGAGAUUAUUGAAACGGUAAGGACCUUUACAACAAAUGAAGAAAUGAUUGUGGAAUGGAUAACCUCUGAACCAGAAGUAACUGAAUAUGUCGUUGAGUGGUAUGAGGAGCUGGAGACAGAUCCUUUCAGUAGAUCAUGGCAGUAUAUAUCAAAUUCUACAAAGUGGAAAGCUAACAAAAAAAUCUUUAAACCAUUUGUAUGCUAUAACAUGUCAGUGUAUCCUCUUUAUGGCAAUAAAGUAGCAGCUCCAUAUUCCAUACAAACUUAUGUUCAAGAAAAAGGUACGUAUUUUGUGAUGUUGUGAAAGGUAUGCUGUUAGGUUGUAUUUUCUUUGAUAAAUUAGGUACUGGCAUUAUUGAAGGACAGAAGCAGAUGCUGAGGAAGGUUCAGGUACAGCUCUGCUUGAACGUCAUCCAUUGGUUGCAAUGCUUAUGUACGGUAUACAACACACUUGGAAAGAGUAUAGCUAAAAAGACUAUNNNNNNNNNNUUUAUUUUAUUUUAUUUUAUUUUAUUUUAUUUUAUUUUAUUUUAUUUAUUUUAUUUUAUUUUAUUUUAUUUU